rnacentral:rRNA from 1 species
GUUGAACGCUGGCGGCAGGCCUAACACAUGCAAGUCGAGCGGAUGAAGGGAGCUUGCUCCUGGAUUCAGCGGCGGACGGGUGAGUAAUGCCUAGGAAUCUGCCUGGUAGUGGGGGAUAACGUCCGGAAACGGGCGCUAAUACCGCAUACGUUCUGAGGGAGAAAGUGGGGGAUCUUCGGACCUCACGCUAUCAGAUGAGCCUAGGUCGGAUUAGCUAGUUGGUGGGGUAAAGGCCUACCAAGGCGACGAUCCGUAACUGGUCUGAGAGGAUGAUCAGUCACACUGGAACUGAGACACGGUCCAGACUCCUACGGGAGGCAGCAGUGGGGAAUAUUGGACAAUGGGCGAAAGCCUGAUCCAGCCAUGCCGCGUGUGUGAAGAAGGUCUUCGGAUUGUAAAGCACUUUAAGUUGGGAGGAAGGGCAGUAAGUUAAUACCUUGCUGUUUUGACGUUACCAACAGAAUAAGCACCGGCUAACUUCGUG